CCUACGGGAGGCAGCAGUGGGGAAUAUUGCACAAUGGGGGAAACCCUGAUGCAGCGACGCCGCGUGAGUGAAGAAGUAUUUCGGUAUGUAAAGCUCUAUCAGCAGGGAAGAAAAUGACGGUACCUGAGUAAGAAGCCCCGGCUAACUACGGGCCAGCCGCCGAGGUAAUACGUAGGGGGGAAGCGUUAACCGGAUUUACUGGGUGUAAAGGGAGCGUAGACGGCAGCACAAGUCUGGAGUGAAAUGCCGGGGCUUAACCCCGGAACUGCUUUGGAAACUGUGCAGAUAGAGUGCAGGAGAGGUAAGUGGAAUUCCUAGUGUAGCGGUGAAAUGCGUAGAUAUUAGGAGGAACACCAGUGGCGAAGGCGGCUUACUGGACUGUAACUGACGUUGAGGCUCGAAAGCGUGGGGAGCAAACAGGAUUAGAUACCCCAGUAGUC
rnacentral:rRNA from 1 species